rnacentral:rRNA from 1 species
AUUGAACGCUGGCGGCAGGCUUAACACAUGCAAGUCGAACGAGUGGCGGACGGGUGAGUAAUGCUUGGGAAUCUAGCUUAUGGCGGGGGAUAACUACGGGAAACUGUAGCUAAUACCGAUAACCAGAGGAUGAGCUCACGGGGGGUUAGGUAGUUGGUGAGGUAAAGGCUCACCAAGCAGACGAUCUCUAGCUGGUCUGAGAGGAUGACCAGACACAAUGGGACGGAGACACGGCCCAGACGCCUACGGGAGGCAGCAGUGGGGAAUAUGGCGCAAUGGGGGCAACCUGACGCAGCCAUGCCGCGUGAAUGACGAAGGCCUUCGGGUGGUAAAGUUCUUGCGGUAGCGAGGCGUUAACUACAGAAGAUGCACCGGCUAACUCCGUGCCAGCAGCCGCGGUAAUAC